rnacentral:rRNA from 1 species
CUCAUGAUGAACGCUAGCUACAGGCUUAACACAUGCAAGUCGAGGGGCAGCAUGGUCUUAGCUUGCUAAGGCCGAUGGCGACCGGCGCACGGGUGAGUAACACGUAUCCAACCUGCCGUCUACUCUUGGACAGCCUUCUGAAAGGAAGAUUAAUACAAGAUGGCAUCAUGAGUCCACAUGUUCACAUGUUUAAAGGUAUUCCGGUAGACGAUGGGGAUGCGUUCCAUUAGAUAGUAGGCGGGGUAACGGCCCACCUAGUCUUCGAUGGAUAGGGGUUCUGAGAGGAAGGUCCCCCACAUUGGAACUGAGACACGGUCCAAACUCCUACGGGAGGCAGCAGUGAGGAAUAUUGGUCAAUGGGCGAGAGCCUGAACCAGCCAAGUAGCGUGAAGGAUGACUGCCCUAUGGGUUGUAAACUUCUUUUAUAAAGGAAUAAAGUCGGGUAUGCAUACCCGUUUGCAUGUACUUUAUGAAUAAGGAUCGGCUAACUCCGUGCCAGCAGCCGCGGUAAUACGAAGGAUCCGAGCGUUAUCCGGAUUUAUUGGGUUUAAAGGGAGCGUAGAUGGAUGUUUAAGUCAGUUGUGAAAGUUUGCGGCUCAACCGUAAAAUUGCAGUUGAUACUGGAUAUCUUGAGUGCAGUUGAGGCAGGCGGAAUUCGUGGUGUAGCGGUGAAAUGCUUAGAUAUCACGAAGAACUCCGAUUGCGAAGGCAGCCUGCUAAGCUGCAACUGACAUUGAGGCUCGAAAGUGUGGGUAUCAAACAGGAUUAGAUACCCUGGUAGUCCACACGGUAAACGAUGAAUACUCGCUGUUUGCGAUAUACUGCAAGCGGCCAAGCGAAAGCGUUAAGUAUUCCACCUGGGGAGUACGCCGGCAACGGUGAAACUCAAAGGAAUUGACGGGGGCCCGCACAAGCGGAGGAACAUGUGGUUUAAUUCGAUGAUACGCGAGGAACCUUACCCGGGCUUAAAUUGCAGAUGAAUUACGGUGAAAGCCGUAAGCCGCAAGGCAUCUGUGAAGGUGCUGCAUGGUUGUCGUCAGCUCGUGCCGUGAGGUGUCGGCUUAAGUGCCAUAACGAGCGCAACCCUUGUUGUCAGUUACUAACAGGUUCUGCUGAGGACUCUGACAAGACUGCCAUCGUAAGAUGUGAGGAAGGUGGGGAUGACGUCAAAUCAGCACGGCCCUUACGUCCGGGGCUACACACGUGUUACAAUGGGGGGUACAGAGGGCCGCUACCACGCGAGUGGAUGCCAAUCCCAAAAACCUCUCUCAGUUCGGACUGGAGUCUGCAACCCGACUCCACGAAGCUGGAUUCGCUAGUAAUCGCGCAUCAGCCACGGCGCGGUGAAUACGUUCCCGGGCCUUGUACACACCGCCCGUCAAGCCAUGGGAGCCGGGGGUACCUGAAGUGCGUAACCGCGAGGAGCGCCCUAGGGUAAAACU